rnacentral:rRNA from 1 species
UUUGAUCCUGGCUCAGGAUGAACGCUGGCGGUAUGCUUUACACAUGCAAGUCGUACGAGAAUUUUUAAUUCAAGUGGCGGACGGGUGAGUAACACGUAAGAAUUUACCUUUAGGAGGGGGAUAACAACUGGAAACGGUUGCUAAUACCCCAUAUGCUUUCGAGUGAAAUGGAUUUUUCCGCCUAGAGUGAAGCUUGCGGCUGAUUAGCUUGUUGGUGAGGUAAUGGCUUACCAAGGCGACGAUCAGUAUCUGGUUUGAGAGGACGAUCAGACACACUGGAACUGAGACACGGUCCAGACUCCUACGGGAGGCAGCAGUGGGGAAUUUUCCGCAAUGGGCGAAAGCCUGACGGAGCAAUACCGCGUGAGGGAUGACGGCCUAUGGGUUGUAAACCUCUUUUUUCAGGGAGGAAUAAAUGACGUGUACCUGAAGAAUAAGCAUCGGCUAACUCCGUGCCAGCAGCCGCGGUAAGACGGAGGAUGCAAGUGUUAUCCGGAAUCACUGGGCGUAAAGCGUCUGUAGGUGGUUUACUAAGUCAACUGUUAAAUCUUGAGGCUUAACUUCAAAAUCGCAGUCGAAACUAUUAGACUAGAGUAUAGUAGGGGUAAAGGGAAUUUCCAGUGGAGCGGUGAAAUGCGUAGAGAUUGGAAAGAACACCGAUGGCGAAGGCACUUUACUGGGCUAUUACUAACACUCAGAGACGAAAGCUAGGGUAGCAAAUGGGAUUAGAUACCCCAGUAGUCCUAGCCGUAAACAAUGGAUACUAGAUGUUGAACAGAUCGACCUGUGCAGUAUUAAAGCUAACGCGUUAAGUAUCCCGCCUGGGAAGUAUGCUCGCAAGAGUGAACUCAAAGGAAUUGACGGGG